UCUUUUAGAGUGAGCGGCAAACGGGUGAGUAACGCGUGGGAAUCUACCCCUCUCUACGGAAUAACACAGAGAAAUUUGUGCUAAUACCGUAUACGUCCUAUUGGAGAAAGAUUUAUCGGAGAUGGAUGAGCCCGCGUUGGAUUAGCUAGUUGGUGAGGUAACGGCUCACCAAGGCGACGAUCCAUAGCUGGUCUGAGAGGAUGAUCAGCCACACUGGGACUGAGACACGGCCCAGACUCCUACGGGAGGCAGCAGUGGGGAAUAUUGGACAAUGGGGGCAACCCUGAUCCAGCCAUGCCGCGUGAGUGAUGAA
rnacentral:rRNA from 1 species